UUGGUAGAGGGCAGAGCCAGAUUUUGAACCAGAGUCCAUGUUCUCAAGCACCUCAGUAUGAGGCCAGCGUGUGGAAGCUUCUGGAAGUCUCCUCUCUGAAGCAACAGAAGGCACCGCUGUCUAUGGGGGUGGUCUCCAAUGCAAGAGGCAGCAGACUCCCUGGGGAGCCAAUGUGCUGGGAGGGAUGCAAGCAUGGACUCAGAGCCCUCCGUGGCCCUCAGGCCUGUCUCUCACCUUAUGUCUGUCCAGGGCUGCCAGCGGGAUAAAAUGGAUUAAUAAAUGAAGGUGCUUUGAAAAGCACCCGAAUAUAUCUCGUUGUUCUUCCCCAGGCUGGCCUGGCCUGGAAUACAAAUGAGGCCUUCUAGUCUGAGGCAGGUCGAAGGGCACAGCCAGGCAGAGGGAUGGUUCAUGCUCAGCUCAAUCAGCCCAUCAAUCCCCUCCGGCUGCUUUCCCUCUGUUCCUGACCACUCCCACCCCCUUUAUCCCCCACCCCGCCCCCCAACUCCAGACAGGGAGUGGGAAUGAGGCAAAAAGCAAGCAGGGAGCCACCAGCACAAGAAAGGUCAGGUUGCUUACAAACCACUGCUCAACGAAAUAAAAG
rnacentral:lncRNA from 1 species